rnacentral:rRNA from 1 species
UACGGAGGAUGCAAGCGUUAUCCGGAUUUAUUGGGUUUAAAGGGUGCGUAGGCGGAAUAAUAAGUCAGCGGUGAAAUCCUGUGGCUCAACCAUAGAAUUGCCAUUGAUACUGUUAUUCUUGAGUAUAGUUGAAGUGGGCGGAAUGUGUAAUGUAGCGGUGAAAUGCUUAGAUAUUACACAGAACACCAAUUGCGAAGGCAGCUCACUAAGCUGUUACUGACGCUGAGGCACGAAAGCGUGGGGAGCAAACAGG